rnacentral:rRNA from 1 species
UUUUCGGAGAGUUUGAUCCUGGCUCAGGACGAACGCUGGCGGCGUGCCUAAUACAUGCAAGUCGAGCGAACAGAAGGGAGCUUGCUCCCGGAUGUUAGCGGCGGACGGGUGAGUAACACGUGGGUAACCUGCCUGUAAGACUGGGAUAACUCCGGGAAACCGGAGCUAAUACCGGAUAGUUCCUUGAACCGCAUGGUUCAAGGAUGAAAGACGGUUUCGGCUGUCACUUACAGAUGGACCCGCGGCGCAUUAGCUAGUUGGUGGGGUAAUGGCUCACCAAGGCGACGAUGCGUAGCCGACCUGAGAGGGUGAUCGGCCACACUGGGACUGAGACACGGCCCAGACUCCUACGGGAGGCAGCAGUAGGGAAUCUUCCGCAAUGGACGAAAGUCUGACGGAGCAACGCCGCGUGAGUGAUGAAGGUUUUCGGAUCGUAAAGCUCUGUUGUUAGGGAAGAACAAGUGCGAGAGUAACUGCUCGCACCUUGACGGUACCUAACCAGAAAGCCACGGCUAACUACGUGCCAGCAGCCGCGGUAAUACGUAGGUGGCAAGCGUUGUCCGGAAUUAUUGGGCGUAAAGGGCUCGCAGGCGGUUUCUUAAGUCUGAUGUGAAAGCCCCCGGCUCAACCGGGGAGGGUCAUUGGAAACUGGGGAACUUGAGUGCAGAAGAGGAGAGUGGAAUUCCACGUGUAGCGGUGAAAUGCGUAGAGAUGUGGAGGAACACCAGUGGCGAAGGCGACUCUCUGGUCUGUAACUGACGCUGAGGAGCGAAAGCGUGGGGAGCGAACAGGAUUAGAUACCCUGGUAGUCCACGCCGUAAA